UUCCUCCAGACAAAUUGCAGAUCGUUUUAUUUGAUGUUGAUUUUCUUCCUAAAUUCUCAUUCAACUCAAAGCAUUAAAACUAAACGAAAGCAGCAUAGUGAUAAUGAUAUGGAAUUGUUAAGAGCAGAUUACAAAAGAAAUUCGACAGGUUUUGGGUCCUAAUGGAAUCGAUAACGACCGUUUUUGGUGAUCAAACAUCAAUUGAAACACCAAAAGAACAGGUAAAAAAAAAUUAAACAGGAAUCCGCAUCUUAGGUGGCCGGUUUGCUCUAUAUUUUCUCCAGGGCCUGCAGAAUGUCAGCCUUAAGAUCAUUGAAGUCUUCGAUACCGAAGCUGAAACGGACCAGGUUAUCCUUGAUUCCGUACUUGAGCCUAUCUGACUGGCUGAGAUCCCUGUUUCAAAAGCAUGGUAACAAAAAGCAGUCAGGAAAAGGAGACAUUUCUUUUGCUCAUUGUUGCAAAUACCAACAUGGCAAAAAUAUUUUUCAACCAUUUCAGUGUAUAAGACUAUCAUUUAGAGAAUUAUUGUAAGCAGUAACUUUGGCAACUUAAAGGCAACAAGAAUCGGUUAUGCAGUGCCAAAGCACCUCCAGGCACCCAUACAUGCUUUAGAAAUGAACUUUCAGUAAAACCUGAUCUUAGUCUAAUAGAUUGUAAUCUACCUAACUUAUCACACUUGGAUGGAGACAUUUUAACACACCCUAACCACAACAGAAUUUGGCAUAUAAGAAAUUUUGGUCUCUCUUUCAAAAAGACAUUAGAAAACUGAAUUCAUUAGCCACCAUAAGAUUAAGAAAAAAGGGAAUACCAA
rnacentral:lncRNA from 1 species